rnacentral:lncRNA from 10 species
AUAAAUCCCAUAGGCUUAAGGGCUCCCCAAUUCCUUGCUACAGAGCCCUGUUGUCCACGGUUUAUUUUUUUCCACAGGACGAUUCUUAAUACUUUACCAGAUGGAAACACCACCACCACCAUCUUUGCCAUUUCAGCUCUUAUGCAUUAGGCAGCCACGAUAUCUUCAGGGCCUUCUUUCUCAUUCACGCCAUCUCAAGGUGGGUGCAUUAGAUGAAUAAGUAGUGCAUUUAUUUCCUAGGGCUGUUGUAAUGAAGCAUCAUAAACUGAGUGGCUCAAAACAACAGAAAUUAUUGUCUCUCAGCUCUGGAGGCUAGAAGUUGGAACCCAGCAGUGUUGGUAGGGCCAUACUUUAUCUGAAACCUGUGUUACCCCUUACCUCUUCCUAGCUUCUGGUAGUUUGCUGGCAGUGUGUGGAACCCCUUGGCUUGCAGCUGCAUAACUACAAUACUGCUUCUGUCCUCACAUGACAUUCUCCCUGUGUGUUUCUGCCUUUAUACAGUGAUCUUCUCAGAAGGACAGCGAUAGAAUUAGGGGCCCACCCUAUUCCAGUAUGAUCUCAUCUUAACAAAUUACAUCUUCAAUAAUCUUGCAAUUACAUUCUAAGGUACUAGGGGUUAGAAAUUCAACUUUUUGUUUGGGUUGGGGGACACGAUUUAACAUCUAACAGGUGUGAACAGGCAAUAUGGAUAACUGUGUGUAUAAUGUUGCUUUACAAAAAAUUGGUCAGUAACUAUGGCUGUUGUUCAUUUUUAAAAAUUUUAAGCAACAAUUAUUUGUUAGAACUCCAUGGGGACCUUCAUAGCAAUAUUGAACUCAAAGUAAAGAUGUAAGCUUGAGGUUUCUUUCUAUGCAAGCAUUGUCUAACUUUCAAACUUCUCAAACCAUAGGGAGACAGGAAAGAAAUCACCUCAUAUAAUGCUCGCAGGUUUGGAAUCAGUUGAAACAGCCUAGUUUAAAAAGGUCAGUAUAGAGUUUAAUUGGGUAUAUUUAACUGAAGUAUUAAAUAGAGACAUUGCUGGCCUGAAAAAGAUCUCAUGCCAGAUAAAGGCAAAUAUAAUAAAGAUGUCAGGGUGCUUCUCUGGAGCAAGUGAGAUCAUUAUGCAAUUAUGUUACUUAGAAAGGCAAAGGGCAGAAUACAAUUUACACUGUGAAAUGUUACAUUUCCCAGUUUCCGGAAUCCUUUUCUUCUCAUUUCUUUGCAGGUAAUCCACUGGGCUAGCGAUAGGUUAUAAUUAAGUGUUGUCAUGAUUUCCAGUUAGUUUAAUAUGAGAGAAUUUACUUAAAAUCAUCAAGUCUUCAGACAAACUAUGAUGUUCUAAACAAAUUUUGACAAUUAAAAAAAUAGAAUUAAAUAUUUGCUUUGAUAUAGAGCUGAAUAGCCAUACCAAAGAAGUUCUAGAAAUUUUUGACUAUCUUAAUUUAUAAAUUUAACCACAAUUUGUUAACUAUUUACUAUAUUCAAGACAUUAUUUGAUACUGGGCUUGUAAAGUAAAAUUGAGUGAAACAUUUUAAUUUUCAUAAAUUGUGAUUUCAUAGAUACAUGUGUAGAGGUGACUUUUUAAGUAGCCUAUAAUAAGUGCCAUACCCUAAAUACAAAUGUAGUGAUGCUACCAAGAGCAAAGAGAGCUUCUUUGUUACAAGGAACAAAGGCAAAGAGAGCAUCAAAUGUAACUAAACAGAUGAGAGAAUCAUAAGGUACACUAGUUAGAGUAGGUUAGGGUAGGCCACCAAGCCAUUCCAAAAUUUCGGUAGCUUAACACACAUGCAAGUGCAUACACACAGGCGUAUGUUUUUGUGUUUAUUUCUUUUGCAAUUCAUAAUAUGUGUUCAAUAUGGUUCACCUGGAGGUGGGAACCUUGCUUCAGUGCUUCCCUGAUCACCAAGACACAUAAAAAGAAAAAUGGCAAAUCACUCAAUGGCUCUUCAAGCUUCCAUCCAGAAGGCUCCAUAGUACUCUUAUCACUUCUGGCCAAAUCAACUCAUAAUAACAUUAAAAAAAAAAAAAGCAAAACUUGUGAAGGAGAGAGGGUCCAUAUGUAAGAGAUACAAUCAUAAAGUGUGCCCAGAAUUUGAAGAGUGCUGGCAUAUUUGCAUGCACCCAAAUGGAUAUCACUGUGGGCAUCUGUGAAAUGACGAAUGAUAUUUCAGUGAGUGGAAAUUGUGCCAGGGUCUAAAAAUAUUCAAUAGAGUGGAAAAGAAAAUUGGGAAACAGUUGACAGCACUUUUGUUCGUUAAGUGGCAAAUAUUUGUGCAUGACCAACGGUGGAAAACAAAUAUGACAAAAGUAUAUUGUUAUUGGACUACCAAGAAUCUUGUAUUAGUUUGAGUUCUCUCAGAGCUGACCUUGAGACUACAAAUGAGCUCAAGUAGUUUGGGAACUUGCAAUGGCUUUCCUGAGGUGUCUACUUGGCUAGACUACUGUCUUCAAUUAUUCUAAGACUAAUUAAUCACCAAACACUAACCUAGGUGUUGCUGUAAAGAGAUUUUGCAGAUAUAAUUAAAACUUCUAAUCGGUAGACUUUGUGUAGGGAACACUGUCCUGGAUAAUUUGUGUGGAGCUGACUGAAUCAGUUGCAAAACCUCAAAAGCAGGGCUGAGGUUUCCCAGAGAGAAUAAAUCUCACCUGUAGACAACAGCGCUAGCCUGUCCCCAGAGACUCCAGCCUGCCUAUGAUAUCCCUUUUCUGAAUGCCCACCCCAUGAUAUCAACUUUUUAGCCAGCUCAUGCAUUUGUAAAUUCGAUUUCUUAUAAUAAAUAUCUUCCUAUAUUGUACUGCUACUGGUUCUGUUUCUUUGGUUGAAUCCUAACUGAUAUAAAAGGGAUCAUAGGAAGUACAAUCGGGCAAUAGAAAAAUGAGACAGAAAAUAAUGCAGCUCAAUAAAGUGUGUUUUUAUGAACAGAUUACUCCUGUGGGUAUCUGGGCUCAAUCCCAGUGGAAACCUUCUAAAUGACUGUAGACAAGAAACCUCCAAAUGACUGCAUGAACGGUGGAGAAAACCAGGGUAUUUCUCCUUGAACUCUAGCUACUUAUUGCUUAAGAGCACCUGUCCCCUCCACUUGUCCAUUUCCCUCCUUUCCUGUGACAAAAGAACCCUUGCAGGAAGACAGUGGAAAAAUGCCAUAGGUGGCUUGAAAGGAUACGGGCUUGGAAUGCACAGAAUCUGAUACAAGUCUACUUCAAAGACAAUGGCUUUUAUUCUUCAGUGACUGGGGACACAAGAACAUGUUUUCAAAAGGGGUGUAAAAUUUGUGAUUUAAUCAACACAUACUGAGUAUCUAAAAUGUGCCAGGCACUGUGAAAGAAACUGAAUAAAUAUGAGUGAAGUACAGUCUCAGUCCUCUAGAAAUUUCAGAUUCAUUAAAAGUACAGUUGACCUUUGAACAAUACAGAUUAGAACUGUCUAGUCCACUUAUACAUGGAUUUUCUUCUGCCUCUGUCACCCGAGACACAGCAAGACCAACCCCUCCCCUUCCUCCUUCUUUUCAACCUACUUAACCUGAAAUCGAUGAUGAAGACAUUUGUGAUGAUCCACAUCCACUUAAUGAAAGAGGACAUAAAUAGUACUAGUGAAUGAAAAGUUCAAGAAUGUGGAUCUCAAGUCAGAAUAAGAAGAUUAGAGAAACUAAAGCUACUCUAAAAUGAAAAAAAAAUUAAUGAAAAAAAAUUAAUGCAAUAAAAUAGUAUUUUUCUUUUUUUAAAAAAUAAUUCCAACUUUUAUCUUAGAUUCAGGGAAUACAUGUUCAGAUUUUUUACAUGAGUAUAUUGCAUGAUAUUGAGGGUUGGGAUAUGGAUGGUUCCAACACCCAGGUAGUAAGUAUAGUACCCAAUAGGUAGUUUUCAGCCUUUGCCCUCCUCUUUCUCUCCCCCGUCCACUAAUCCCCAGUGUUUAUUUUUCCAUGCUUAUCUCCAUGUGUACCUAAUGUUGAAUUUCUGCUUGUAAGUAAGAACAUACAGUAUUUGGUUUUCUAUUUCUGCUUUAAUUUAUUAAGAUAAUGACCUCCAGCUGCAUCCAUGUUACUGGAAAGGAAAUUAUUUUGUUCUUUUUAAUGGCUGCAUAACAUUCCAUGGUGUAUAUGUACUACAUUUUCUUUAUCCAAUCUACCAUUGAUGAGUACCUAGAUUGAUUCCGUGACUUUGCUACUGUGAAUCAUGUUGCAAUAAAC